CUAACAUUUCUUCCCAUUUGGAAUAUAGUAAUUCACAAAGCAUAGCUGAAGGAACAGUACUCAUGGCUUGGGACCAAUAGUACUGAAAGUCAUCUUCAUAUCACAUUACAGUUCUUGCAGAUAUCCCAGAAUACCAUUUUGAUUCAUGAUUAAUUUGAAAUUAUGCCAGAUACAUGUUAAGUCCAUAUAUUAGUGCAUCACAAAUUGGCUUUUAAAAUAUUUGGCAGG
rnacentral:lncRNA from 10 species